rnacentral:misc_RNA from 1 species
GAUGAAGAACGUAGCGAAAUGCGAUACGUAAUGUGAAUUGCAGAAUUCAGUGAAUCAUCGAGUCUUUGAACGCACAUUGCGCCCCCUGGUAUUCCGGGGGGCAUGCCUGUCCGAGCGUCAUUGCUGCCCUCAAGCACGGCUUGUGUGUUGGGCCCCGCCGCCCCGGCGGGCCCUAAAGUCAGUGGCGGUGCCGUCCGGCUCCGAGCGUAGUAAUUCUUCUCGCUCUGGAGGUCCGGUCGUGUGCUCGCCAGCAACCCCCAAUUUUUUUCAGGUUGACCUCGGAUCAGGUAGGGAUACCCGCUGAACUUAAGCAUAUCAAUAAGCGGAGGA